UGAUACGUUGAUCGUUCGCCCCUUCGAUUCCGGCAGAAAUAACACACCACGAUAACCACGGAAACAACACACUUGCGAGAACCCGCGUCGCGGCAAGUUCGCGCGUCGAUAGUGUCACGGACGAGGAUUCGACCCUCGAUUCCCUCGAAAAUAAGCUCGUGCUUGUGCCGUUUCGGAGCCGAACGUCUCGUUUCGGCUAUGCACUUCACGGGGAACCAGUGAAGGCUCGAGCUUAAAGCGACCGUCAGCAGAUGGCGGCCAGUGUUGAGCCACCGUUUACUACCACCACCACCACCACCCCGCCCGGGUAACACUGAUCCACGCACAGUUUUCCCUCGUAGCUGAUGAUCGUGCCCUCUCGUCAACAUACCCUGGACAACGGAGACGAUCGGUCACUGGCUGGACAACACCGUUCCCUGUCACGCGCCCCGUUCCUCUUUCGCUCCGACGAUCGAUUUUAUGGGAUCACAUCGCGGUGGAUGGAAAUUACCCGAAAUAUAUAUCGAAAUGUUCUAUCCCCCGAGGCCAGUGGAAGAGGUUGAGUUUCAUUGGUUCAACGCGAUUCAGGGAUGAUACGCGCACGCGCCACCACUGCGCGCUCUGGCUGGUAUAUUCGGUUCGAUCCGUUACCAGCCUGUAUUCCUCCUCGGUCGGGAUAGACCGUUCCAACGAGCAGAUAGGGUUAUAUUAUUAAUCGUUGUAUAUUUCAUUCUCAAUCGUUCAUGGUUAAUUUUCGUCGAAUCUUUUACGUAUUUCGAGUGGGAAAAAUAAUAUUCUCGUAAUUGUAUGGGGAUGAGACGGAAGAUCGAGAGGAAAAGAUGAGAAGGAAAGGAUUGUGGAAGGAAGAAUCGUGUCCCUUUAAGGUACCUUUCGGGUGAACGAAAAUUUGGGAAAUUUAUAGAAUUUGUCGAAGAGAGGGGAGAAGUUUGAUAUUCACGAGAGGACUAAGAUAAACUCCACUUUUCUACCUACUCACUAUAAGCUACGUUAUACGUUCCAGUUAAAGCGAAUUCAAUUUUCCAACGCCUGGCUCCAAGGAAGGGAUUUAAACUGUAUCCAGCCGAUAAAUACACAACCAUACGUGCGAGGUACGUGCUUCGAGGCAUCCUUUUGCGAAUCCUUUGUCCGCCCAAGAUUUUCUCAUUAGCAGCCCGGCUACUAAUUUAUUCGUACACGAGGAGCAAUCACGGAGGAGGAAACGGUUAGUCAUCGUUCAACGAUCCCCUCCCCCUCUCUCUCUCUCUCGUUUGAAUGGGACGAGACGAGUCAGCAUCGAGUAGCAAGAGUAUCGAGAACGUUGCAUACAAUUAAGGAACAAUCACACAGGCAUGCAUUGAAAUAACGAUCGAAGAUCGAGGGAGAGAAUCGGGAUUUGAACCGUUAAUCGUUUUUAGUGUACCGCUUCAACGAGCCGCACGAAGCGAAACACGGAUCGAGGGGGAGGGAAGGAGUAAGGAAUAAGGCGGGAGAAAGAGAGAGAGAGAGAGAGAGAGAAGGGAGGGAGAAGAGGAAUUCUUGGCUGGUUCGAGUCGAACAACGUGUAGCGGAUCUUCCACGCAGGUAUACAAGCCCGUUCCAGGAGAUACCGUAAGACCUUGCUGUUACGUCACUAGAAGCCACGUGAUUAGGAGAAAAAGGAUACCGGCGAGAAGGGAGACGAGAAAACGGAAACUCUGCCCUCGGGCUGAAGAACACGCUUCGUGCCGCUCCGUUCUUCGAAAUUUGUAAAUGUAUAAUUUCUUUCUUAAUCUUUCUUUUUUCUUUCCUCUUCAGUUUCUUAUUUUUGUUACGUAAAUUUGAAAUUUGAAAUUAGAUUCAUUUUUUAUCUUUCGAGAGUGUUUAACUUUCUAAAUUUAGAAAUUCGAAGAUGCUUGAUAUUCUCUUAAUCCUUUUUCUUUUCUUUUUAUUUUCGAAUUUUAAUCUUUGAGGUUUAAUUGAAGUUAAAAAAUUCGAAAAUGAAACGUUAGAUUAUUUUCCCUUUUCCCAUUGUUGAAUUGCUUUAUAUUUUUGGAAUUGAAGGAUACUAUAUUUGAAGAUGCAAUGUUUAUUUAGCUUUUUUUGAAUACUAUUCUGUUUUCGAAAUUUGAUUGAAUUGCAAAAAUUUAUAAAUGCAACGCUCCUUUAAUCUUUCCCCCUUUCGUUAAUUUUUUUUCCUCUUUUAAUCAAUCCUUCCCUUUCCUAAAUUUCAAAACAGUUGAAACAGUUUGGAAAAAUAUAAUUUUAAAAUUCUCCUUUUAAGCUGAAAAUUUGUUUAGCGUCAAUUUAAGUGGAGUUGGAGCUUUUUUAAUAUAAAAUAAUUGCAAUUAACGGAACAGUGGUUCCAACCAUUUUCAGAAUCAGGGCACAAGGGUCGAAAAUGAUUAUCCAGCUGUUCCAUGCUGAAACGUUUCUAAAAUAAGAGACGCAUGUGUGAAGUUAUAAUUACGUGUCUGUAGAGGUUACCAGUAAAUUUAGAUGUGCAAAGUGGGCUAAACGAUCUCAAGUUGAGCUCUACGUUUAAAUAAAUCUAUCUGUAUAAAUUGUAACGAUAUUCAUAUAUCAAUUUUACGAACAAUUUUCAUUUGAAUAAAAUAUUCUGUUACAGCCUU